ensembl:lncRNA
CCAGACUCUGGUCUGAGUGGUUGACUUGUAUCCCCAAGAUUACUCCUCCUAGCACCAGGAGCUGAACCUCCAGGUAUGACCAGAUGUAGCUGGAUGACUAGAGUAAAAAUGGCAUCAGCAAUGUCAGCUGAUGAGAUUUGAGAAGUAACCACUUCCAGUGACCUCUGGGCCAUAGCAGCAUGCAUGAACAGAGUGCCUCAAACAGUUUGUGUGGGAAGCCACUCAUAGCGUAUCUAUGGGCUGUUUAAAUGGAUGGAAAUUGCAUCAUACGCAUCAGACAGAUGUCUGAGAAACCCGAAAAGGGGGAUGCAUGUCUGCAGCAGAGAGAAUGCUUUUCUUUUCUCCUUGGGUACCACUGUGUGCCAGCACCAGCAGGCAAGCUCGUGGGUCAGGCCCUGCUGCACAGGCUCCAGAGGCAGCAAGAACCUGCUGAAAAAAACAAAUCUUAAUGCCGAAAUACUCCUUAGUACUUUUCUCAUGUUCCUUUCACAAAGGCUGUGGAAAGCUUGGGGUAUUUUCCUAACUCACACCCCAACACAAAACUCUCAUUUAUCAAGUAUUUAUCUGCUGUGCUGUAACUUGCUGCUGUCAUUAAAUAAUGCAUCUGAAAUGCAGGCUUGAGCGGAUCACUCUGCUGAGAGCGCUGUGCUUUUGAAAUGUGAUGGAGCUCAUCUGCCUGUCCUGGACCAAAGAGGCAGACAAGGCUGGGCUGGUUUGGGCACGGCUGCAGGUUUGUCCUCACUGUUCCUUGCUCAGGGAUAUCACUUCACAAACAGUAAAUAGGCUUCCAGUUUUUAUUUCCAAGUUUAGAUAAAAUGAUCUGUAUUUUCAUUUUCUUUUAGAAAGAAAGCAGGCUGGAGAAGCAUCCCAGAAUGGCCAGAAGCUCAUUAUAAGCUUUUUCUCUCAGAUUCAGUCCCAUUCCCAACAUUUUCCAGUUUGUUGAAGCCAAUAUAUUUGUUUUCAGCAAAUGAAUGCUUUAUGAUGACAACCCCUCUCGUGGGGAAGAUGCCUGCUGGUACCUCCUGGGGCUCAGAAGGGAAGCCUGGGAACCAUUGUUGGUUUUGAGUCCAAAACAGUGCAUUCCUGUGGUGGUAAAAUUACUUCUGUUUUAUUCUUUAUGGAUAUCAAAAUACUGAGUUCAGAGCUUCAUUUAAAACAAUAGCAUUUUGUGCAAGUAAAUCAUCUUGCUUAUGUGCAGUCUUUCUACUUACAAAGUCCAUAUUGAUUCUCCUGUCCCACUGAACAGCCCUGCUCUGCCUAAAGACCACUCAGGCCUGCUCAGGAUAGAUGCGAUUUAUCAACAUACUUCUCCAGCCAUAGCUGUAGUGUUUACACACAGUUCAAACAUUCAGAUGUGGCCCCUUCUCCUCAGAUGGAUGAUGUGGAAAUUAUUUUCUGUUCUGAACUAAUUCUUCCUGUUGGCACCUACAGCAUUUUUUGUUCAUGUACUUAUUGAUUGAUUAGUCCGGCCUCAACAGUUCUAUGCGACCCUUCAGUCUUGCUGUUAACCUAUGCCUGUGCCCAUUCCAGACCACAUCAUUCAGUACCACCUCUGCCCUUUCCCUGAGCACCUCCAGGAAUGCUGACCCCACCACCUCCCUGGGCAGCCUGUUCCAAUGCAUCACUUGUGUCUGUACUCAGUGCAGCAGGCUCUGAGCUCUGUGAGAUGCUGCUGUACAAACAGCAUGGGUGUGUUGUCUGUGAUGUAGCUACUUGGGAUUGUUGCAGGACCCCACCAUGAGCAAGACAGCUGCAGGCAUUUUCUCUUGUCCUUUUCUCUUGUCCUUGUGAGAGGCAGGGCAGGUUGUCCCUGGUGUUGCAGCGAGGGGCAGGGACCUCCCUACAGCCCUGGGCUCUGCAGGUGAGCAGGGGAUGAACAUGAGGAACGCUGCAGGCAGACCCUUCCCAGCUGCUCCCUUCCCACCAGGCAGGGCUCCUCAUGGACAGCCUGGGCCCACUCAGCCAUGCAGGCAGCUCCCUGGGCCUGUGCUGCAGCUCUGCUCAGCUUUAUUUUUGUUCUUCUUCCAGUAUUUGCAGUACCCAUUUACUCCUGAGGCAUGCGAGUCUGACUAAUCCUUCAGGGGUGUCUCAGGGGAGGACCAUCCUACAGAAAAGCAUGUCUCCCUGCAGUGUGAACUCCCACCGGGUGCAUCUGGCUCUGGGACAAGGCUCAUGCAGUGCUGGGGAAGACCCAAUAUCGUAUAAUUUAGAUGCUUUCCACUCUUCCUUCCAGAAGUUGGCAAACUGCUUACCUGCCUCUAAAGCAUCCCUGUUGUUGUGACUCUGUGUCCAUCUCAGCCUCCUGUCACCAGCCUGAAAGACUGAGCUUUUUGCUGCAUGCUUCAGCAGUAGCGCCUGCAGAGGUGUAACAGAUGCAGUAAGAAUUGCACCUGCUUCCACUGCUAUCAGAAGUCAAACAGCUGAUUGUUACCUCUCCAGGGGCAUUGGUGAGCUUCAGUCGUUGCUCUCCUAUUUCAAAAUCCCACCUUUAAAAAGAAAAAUAAGACACAAAAAAAUGUGGAGCCUGGAAAGAAGCUCAAACUUUCUGUCCCCAUCUUUCUGCUUUUUUUUCUUCCUGUGGAAUAGCAUGGAAAAGUCACCAUCACUGAGAUCUCAGAUAUCUCAGCAGUGUUACAGUGAGGGCCAGAGGAUGAGUUUGAGUGGGCUUUUGUACUUAAAGUUCUAUUGGAUGAAUGUGGAUCUGGAUGUUUAGCAUCCGGGGGGGUGCAUGGCUGCUUAGGUCAGCCCAGACGCUCGUGGGAGUCAUGGGAGUGAACAACCAGCACUUCAUCUGCAGGACCUGCCCCUGCCCUGCAGGACUGUGCUGGAGCCCCACCUCCAGUUCCAUUGCUACUGGAGCCAUUCACCCCAGGGAAAGCCCAGGGCGGGCCCUGGACAGGCACAAUUCAAUGGGAAAGGAAGCAGUACAAACAAGAAGACUGUGUUCUUGGCAGCAGCUGCCUGGAAGAUGGCUGGGACGUGCAGCUAAAUAUCUGGCAGAGAAGAGGGCAUCAAAAACCAACAGGAGAGAAUAAAUGAUGUUCCAGCGGGAUGCUAGAAGUGCCACCCUAGCACAGCCCCGUUCCUGCUUACAGAUGCUUGUGAGCUGCUCCCACCCACGGCACAGGUGAGAGUACGUGCUGUGAGAGGCCAGCCUGCACGCGUGGUGGGAAACUGCACAGCAUGCCACGGCCCAAGCCCUGUUCAGAUAGGGACAACCGCAGCAGGCAGUUGUCCAGGCAGCUUGUGAAACCAGCACCGCAGCAGUUCAGGUCCUUUCCUCCUUUGGAGAGCCUCUCUAUGUUUUUAGGUAGGCUGGAAGGUGUACAAGUUACAGGUGUGCCUGCGAUGUGCUGCAUGGAGAGCAUUCCAGAAAUCCUGCACCAGAGAUUGCGAGCAGAGUGAUUAUCCAUUACUAACUGUAGAGCCUUGAGUUAAGCACGUUCUCCACUUAGGAUCUUCCCAGGGAAAAUAAAGUUUCUGAG